GCUGGUUUGCCCGAGAGGUUAAGGGGGUAGACUUAAGAUCUACUGCACAUAAGUGCGCAUGGGUUCGAACCCCAUAGCCAGCA
rfam:Corchorus olitorius cultivar O-4 contig22755, whole genome shotgun sequence.